AUGCACACAAUUAUCUCAAUUCUAAUCACAAAUUACAGCAAUUUUGGACAUAGAGCAGUCACACAAUUAAGCACAAAAGCAAUCACACAAUUAAGCUACAAAGGGAACAUCAACAAGUUGAGGAAGCAGGAAGAACUUGCCCGUAAGAGAGAGGAACGAGCAGAUGGGCCACUCCUACCGCCAUGGCUGAAGUCGCGGCUCCCUCCAUCCCGUGGGAGAGCGUUGCCUAGGGAGGCUGGAGAAGAGCGUUGCGAGGGGAGGCUGGAGAAGGAAUCUCAGAGGAUUCGCAGAGGGGAGUCGGGGUCGGAGACCUAG
rnacentral:rRNA from 1 species